UUGUUGUGAUGUGUUGCAUUACAUAAUGGCAUGAAAUUUUAAUAUAUUGUUUUCACUAUUCUGCUCACUGGGCUUUGUAGCUCACCCCUCUCCCCUAACCCCAGAUGUGCAGGUACAGGGUAGACUAGAAGGUUAGCCAGAGUUUAUUGAAGUAUGUUGAUGUAAUAGUUAGAUUGUGGACAUGACGAUUGUACUAUGAAUGUAAUGUAAGAGAUUCAGUAUGUUAUGUAAUGAGAUAUAUAUUGAGGUAUAGAUGUGCUUGACCCUAUGAGUAUUGUUAUCCCUUGUAAUACAUGAUCUACAGAAAUGUUUUAUGAUGUUCAUGAAAGCCAACUCAUCUUAUGAUGUAUCGCCCAUUGGGGCAUUGAUGAGAUCCCACAG
rnacentral:lncRNA from 1 species